rnacentral:rRNA from 1 species
AGCAUAUCAAUAAGCGGAGGAAAAGAAACUAACAAGGGAUUCCCCUAGUAACUGCGAGUGAAGCGGGAAAAGCUCAAAUUUAAAAUCUGGUGGUCUUUGGCCAUCCGAGUUGUAAUUUAGAGAAGCGUCUUCCGCGCUGGACCGUGCACAAGUCUCCUGGAAUGGAGCGUCAUAGAGGGUGAGAAUCCCGUCUUUGGCACGGAUGCCCCGGUGCUUCUGUGAUGCGCUCUCGAAGAGUCGAGUUGUUUGGGAAUGCAGCUCAAAAUGGGUGGUGAACUCCAUCUAAAGCUAAAUAUUGGCGAGAGACCGAUAGCGAACAAGUACCGUGAGGGAAAGAUGAAAAGCACUUUGGAAAGAGAGUGAAACAGUACGUGAAAUUGUUGAAAGGGAAACGCUUGAAGUCAGUCGCGUCGAUCGAGACUCAGCCUUGCCUCGGCUUGGUGUACUUCUCGGCUCGACGGGUCAGCAUCAAUUUUGCACCUCGGAUAAUGGCAGGGGAAAGGUGGCACCUUUACGGGUGUGUUAUAGUCUCUUGUCGCAUGCGAGGGGUGGGAUUGAGGAACUCAGCACGCACCUCGGUGUCGGGGCUUUUUUGCCCACGUCACGUGCUUAGGAUGCUGGCGUAAUGGCUUUAAACGACCCGUCUUGAAACACGGACCAAGGAGUCCAACACGCCCGCGAGUGUUCGGGUGGAAAACCCGUGCGCGUAAUGAAAGUGAAAGUUGGGACCUCUGUCGUGGAGGGCACCGACGCCCGGACCAGACCUUCUGUGACGGAUCUGCGGUAGAGCGUGUGUGUUGGGACCCGAAAGAUGGUGAACUAUGCCUGAAUAGGGUGAAGCCAGAGGAAACUCUGGUGGAGGCUCGUAGCGAUUCUGACGUGCAAAUCGAUCGUCAAAUUUGGGUAUAGGGGCGAAAGACUAAUCGAACCAUCUAGUAGCUGG